rnacentral:rRNA from 1 species
GGAAUCCAAGGUAAUGAUCAAUAAGGACAGGCGGGGGCAUUCGUAUUGCGACGUUAGAGGUGAAAUUCUUGGAUCGUCGCAAGACGCACUAGAGCGAAAGCAUUUGCCAAGUAUGUCUUAAUUGAUCAAGAACGAAAGUUAGAGGUUCGAAGGCGAUCAGAUACCGCCCUAGUUCUAACCAUAAACGAUGCCAGCCAGCGAUCCGCCGACGUUCCUCCGAUGACUCGGCGGGGAGCUUUCCCCGGGAAACCAAAAGCUUUUGGGUUCCGGGGGAAGUAUGGUUGCAAAGCUGAAACUUAAAGGAAUUGGCAAAAGGGCACAACCAGGAGUGGAGCCUGCGGCUUAAUUUGACUCAACACGGGAAACCUC